UACGGAGGAUGCAAGCGUUAUCCGGAAUGAUUGGGCGUAAAGCGUCCGCAGGUGGCAGUGUAAGUCUGCUGUUAAAGAGCAAAGCUUAACUUUGUAAAAGCAGUGGAAACUACACAGCUAGAGUACGGUCGGGGCAGAGGGAAUUCCUGGUGUAGCGGUGAAAUGCGUAGAGAUCAGGAAGAACACCGGUGGCGAAGGCGCUCUGCUAGGCCUGUACUGACACUGAGGGACGAAAGCUAGGGGAGCGAAUGGG
rnacentral:rRNA from 1 species